UCGCAUGCGAGUCUCAUACCAUUGCGGUUUUGAUCGGUCGGUUGAAUUGGACGUAACCAAGGCUCGAAACCGGUUUUUACUUCAUACAAAAAAUACCGGUAUUAUUACGAUUUUUUUUUUUUAUGAAAUAGGAGACAAACGAGCAGACGGAUCACCUGGUGGUAAGCGAUUACCGCCGCCCAUGGACACCCGCAACACCAGAAGAGUUGCAAGCGCGUUGCCGGCCUUUAAGAUGGGAGUACGCUCUUUUCUUGAAGGUUUGAAGGUCGUAUCGGUCCGGAAAUGCCGCAGGCGACAGUUCAUUCCACAGUUUGGAUGUGCGAGGCAGGAAGUUUCUGGAGAAACGCACAGUUGAGGACUGCCAACCAUCCAAGUGAUGAAGAUGGUAAUGUUGUCGCGUAGGGCGAUGGCGAAAAGAAGCGGCAGGGAUUAAUCCGAACAAUUCCUCGGAGCACUCCCCGUUAUACAUGCGAUAGAAAAUGCAGAGCGAUGCCACAUCUCUACGCAGCGCCAAGGAGUCAAGCCGUUCCGAAAGCCGCUGGCAGUCGACAAUUCGAGCCGCUCUUCGUUGGAUGCGGUCCAGAGGGAGAAGCUGGUAUUGGGGUGCCCCUGCCCACAGAUGAGAGCAGUAUUCCAUGUGUGGGCGAACCUGCGCCUUAUAAAGCUGUAGGCGCUGGGCCGGUGUGAAAUACCGUCUCGAUCUGUUGAGCACACCGAGCUUCUUGGAGGCUAAUUUAGCCUUACCCUCUAGAUGACCGCGGAACUGGACUUCACUCGAAAUGUCGACACCAAGGAUUCCGAAGGUUCUUUUUCGUUCUUCGGUUUAUUAUUUCAUUUUUAAUCGGACAAUCUAAUAAUACGAAGUUGUUACCUGAAUACAUGAUACAGUCCUACGUAAAGAGCAUAAAAUAAUUAAAAAUAUUGGGCUACUUAGGGUUUUAAAAAAAAAACCGGUUCCGAGCCCUGGACUUAACCUUCAGUCCGCAAAUGUAACUAAAAUAGCAUGCGAGUUCGCGCGCCGUCUAAAUCAGCCUCAAGGGUUAAGGCUCGAGUUCUUAAUGCUCUGAUCUGAAGACAUUUAAAGCUCAAACUCAAAUCGCGUUGCGGUAGCAAUAAUUUUGAGGCUUAGGCCUAUAGAGUUUGAAGCCUUAAAUAAAAAGAAUCAAUCAAAACAAAUCGUCAGGUGACAAGCAAGUCACUAAUUACAAAAAAAAUUAAACAAAAAUCGACCUUCUUUUAGUACUAAUAUGGUUCACUAUGGCUAUGAACUUGUGGUGGUACUUAGUGACUUUUGCGUGUCACCCGACGAAAUGUCACUGAUGUGUUGUUUUAAUAUAGAUCAUUUUGUAAAAUAGUUGUCUAAAAGACUUGAAAUCAAGUAGAUCAAAUUUGUUCAACACUUUGACCGUUAUAAACGUCUAUAUCCUCUUAAGGCCCAAGGUCCUAAAGUCUUAUUUCAAUAGAACUUGCUAACUAUGUAAACAAACAACGUAACUUUGUUUUAUCACUGUUUCUCCUUGAAUUUUUACACCACCUCAUCAUUUCGCGUUUUCGGGGUUGGUCCCAUAGUAAAAGUUGCUCAGUAUGACCUAAUAAACAUUAAUGGGUCUCUUUCUUUGCCAUUCGUUCUGAUACAUAUAGUAUUAAAGAACAUUGUUUAUGAAUUUUAGUGGUUUGGUUGUGGCGGUCAAAGGGUGGGAUUAAAAACCUGUGGAAUAUGUUAUCAGGGGUCAUCCAUUAAUUACUACAAAUGUAAUUGUUGACCAUUUCUACAUAUUAACAGUAAGAAAUAAUUGAAAUAAUUAUUUUACUACAUAAUAUUUAUUUGUUUACUAUUCCGUUUGCUUUACCAUUUUGGUAAAUAACCAUUAAAAUACAUGACAUGACAAUCAAUCAUCAGUUUUUUUUUGAACCGGGGCUAAUAGGAAUAGUUGGGGUGAAUAGGGACAAAACAUAAAAUGUGAUUUACCUGACAAAUCCUUAAUAACUACCCUCACAAAUUGUAUUCAUAUGUAAUCUACUAUUAUUUUCAAUCGAUUUUAUAUAAUAUUUGUGGGUAUUUUUAACAAAAUUGUCAGGUAAAUCCCAUUUGAAGUAUUGUCCCUAUUGACCCCAGCCAUCCGUAUUCACCCCAGUUGACAGUGUCUGUAAAUCAUGUAAAUAUAUGAAUAAGUAUUGUAUAUUUCCAGUGAAUUGACCAACUGCAAAAUAAAGAUGAAGAAAUAGUAUAUAAUUAUGAAUACUUCAUGUAAAUAUGCGUUAAUUUAGAUGUAAUCAUAAUAGGGUUGUUCCAUAUCAAAUAAAAAUUAAACUUUGACCGCACCAGCUCAAAUUUUCAGUUAAACGACUACAUUCCGAAAAAGUUUCACUAACAUUAAAUUUUUUUGCCACUCUUGUGAAUAAAAUGCAACUUUGCUAUCAGUUUUUGAAGUGCAAAGUAAGCCUUUCCGAGCUGGUGUGGUGAAAACCUAAUUGUGUUUGGGUUUACUAGACUUGUCUCGACGAGUAUUAGUUGCCUGUUGAAAGAAUAAUAUAUACAGUCGGCCAUAAAAACUUUUAUUAAUAAUGUUUUAUUUUGACAAAAAAAAACAGAUCCACUUGUCUGUAAAGUCGGUUUAAGGACGAUAAUUUUGCGUGAUAAGUGAUAACGUCAUAAAAAAACAUGAUGAAUAAGUGGCCGUAACGUUACUAUCGAGAUCAGUCUGUCGGCGGCCGAUCGGAAGAUCAGGCAUAUCGUGAAAUUCCUAGGCAUACUCGUAUCGUGAAACGUGAAAAUCUUUGACUCAUUCUCUGAGUCGACGGAGCCCGCGUAUUUCUGGGCUGUUUGCCCUUCGGGCAUCUGAAGCAACCUAACGAACCUAUCCUACCUAUACAUUGGUUUAAUGUGACUAAUUGACUAUCGUUAAAACAUUACACAGGAACAUUACGAUCUGCCUAAUCUUACGAUCGGCCGCCGACAUGUCAACAACGUUACCAUGGAGAUCUGUCCAUAACGUGACACUUUUUCGUGCAUGCUACCGGUGUUCAUCGAUUUAUAAGACAUACACAUACCUAUCUACUAAAUCUGACAUCAUGCGGCGCUUAAUUUGGUUUGUAAUGGAAUAAUUCUACAGUAUGUGUCUGACCAUGGGGCUUUAAUUCCAGGGCUUGAUUUUACUCACUAAACUGAGCUACUUUUACUAUGGGACCAACCCUAAAAUCGGGAAAAAUUUGUUGGCUUUCCCAUAGAAAACGUCGACAUCUGUUCAGCCAAAAUGUAUGAAAAAGUAAAAAAAAAAUUCGGGAUUUCGGGGUUGGUGCCAUAAUAAAAGUAGCUCAGUUUAGCGAGUAGAAUCGAGCCCUGGAUUUAAAUCCCGAUGGUCAGUAACACCCUGUAUAAUGUGUCUCCAAAGUUGUAUAGAUUUAUAAACGAUAAGCAAAGUAUUUUUAUAAAUUUAGUUUUAGUAUUACACAAAGCUUGUAUCUAUUUCCGAUUGUUAUUAAGAAUAGGGCGUUCAGGAUUCAAUAUACGCCCUCGCCGUAAAUAUGUUAUUUUGCUCCCUUGUGACGCAAUCUACUAUUUUCAAGUCAAGGGCAAAAAUGCAUGUAAAUAGUUAUCACACUGAACUCAUUGAUAACUUUAGUGAUCAUACGCAUUCAAAGUGUUAAUUAAAAUCAAAAAGAUUAUUUAUUUGGAAAUGCGAUCUUGUGUAAUUAUAUUUUUACAAUGUGUAAAACAGUAAAUGUUAUUAGA